ACAGCUGUGAUGAGCCCAUUUUACAGUUACAGACCUGUAAUGACUCCUGUGGAAAUGAUCGCAUGGUCAAAGACGAGGGAAAACAUGGUUGAA
rnacentral:snoRNA from 1 species